CUUACCAACCCGAUGCAAACUGCGAAUACCGGAGAAUGUUAUCACGGGAGACACACGGCGGGUGCUAACGUCCGUCGUGAAGAGGGAAACAACCCAGACCGCCAGCUAAGGUCCCAAAGUCAUGGUUAAGUGGGAAACGAUGUGGGAAGGCCCAGACAGCCAGGAUGUUGGCUUAGAAGCAGCCAUCAUUUAAAGAAAGCGUAAUAGCUCACUGGUCGAGUCGGCCUGCGCGGAAGAUGUAACGGGGCUAAACCAUGCACCGAAGCUGCGGCAGCGACACUGUGUGUUGUUGGGUAGGGGAGCGUUCUGUAAGCCUGUGAAGGUGUGCUGUGAGGCAUGCUGGAGGUAUCAGAAGUGCGAAUGCUGACAUAAGUAACGAUAAAGCGGGUGAAAAGCCCGCUCGCCGGAAGACCAAGGGUUCCUGUCCAACGUUAAUCGGGGCAGGGUGAGUCGACCCCUAAGGCGAGGCCGAAAGGCGUAGUCGAUGGGAAACAGGUUAAUAUUCCUGUACUUGGUGUUACUGCGAAGGGGGGACGGAGAAGGCUAUGUUGGCCGGGCGACGGUUGUCCCGGUUUAAGCGUGUAGGCUGGUUUUCCAGGCAAAUCCGGAAAAUCAAGGUUGAGGCGUGAUGACGAGGCACUACGGUGCUGAAGCAACAAAUGCCCUGCUUCCAGGAAAAGCCUCUAAGCAUCAGGUAACAUCAAAUCGUACCCCAAACCGACACAGGUGGUCAGGUAGAGAAUACCAAGGCGCUUGAGAGAACUCGGGUGAAGGAACUAGGCAAAAUGGUGCCGUAACUUCGGGAGAAGGCACGCUGAUAUGUAGGUGAAGUCCCUCGCGGAUGGAGCUGAAAUCAGUCGAAGAUACCAGCUGGCUGCAACUGUUUAUUAAAAACACAGCACUGUGCAAACACGAAAGUGGACGUAUACGGUGUGACGCCUGCCCGGUGCCGGAAGGUUAAUUGAUGGGGUUAGCGCAAGCGAAGCUCUUGAUCGAAGCCCCGGUAAACGGCGGCCGUAACUAUAACGGUCCUAAGGUAGCGAAAUUCCUUGUCGGGUAAGUUCCGACCUGCACGAAUGGCGUAAUGAUGGCCAGGCUGUCUCCACCCGAGACUCAGUGAAAUUGAACUCGCUGUGAAGAUGCAGUGUACCCGCGGCAAGACGGAAAGACCCCGUGAACCUUUACUAUAGCUUGACACUGAACAUUGAGCCUUGAUGUGUAGGAUAGGUGGGAGGCUUUGAAGUGUGGACGCCAGUCUGCAUGGAGCCGACCUUGAAAUACCACCCUUUAAUGUUUGAUGUUCUAACGUUGGCCCCU
rnacentral:rRNA from 1 species